rnacentral:rRNA from 1 species
CAAUAGCGUAUAUUAAAGUUGUUGCGGUUAAAAAGCUCGUAGUUGGAUUUCUGCUGAAAACGACCGGUCCGCCCUCUGGGUGAGUAUCUGGCUCGGCUUUGGCAUCUUCUUGGAGAUCUGGUAUGCACUUGAUUGUGUGUCCAGCUAUCUAAGACUUUUACUUUGAGGAAAUUAGAGUGUUCACGGCAGGCAAUCGCCUUGAAUAUAUUAGCAUGGAAUAAUAACAUAGGAUCUUUGUCCUAUUUUGUUGGUUUCUAGGGCUGAGAUAAUGAUUAAUAGGGAUAAUUGGGGGCAUCUGUAUCAACGCGUCAGAGGUGGAAUUCUUGGAUUGCGUUGCGACAAACUACUGCGAAAGCAUUUGCCAAGGAUGUUUUCAUUGA